rnacentral:rRNA from 3 species
UUAAAUUGAAGAGUUUGAUCAUGGCUCAGAUUGAACGCUGGCGGCAGGCCUAACACAUGCAAGUCGAACGGUAACAGGAAGCAGCUUGCUGCUUCGCUGACGAGUGGCGGACGGGUGAGUAAUGUCUGGGAAACUGCCUGAUGGAGGGGGAUAACUACUGGAAACGGUGGCUAAUACCGCAUAACGUCGCAAGACCAAAGAGGGGGACCUUCGGGCCUCUUGCCAUCAGAUGUGCCCAGAUGGGAUUAGCUAGUUGGUGAGGUAACGGCUCACCAAGGCGACGAUCCCUAGCUGGUCUGAGAGGAUGACCAGCCACACUGGAACUGAGACACGGUCCAGACUCCUACGGGAGGCAGCAGUGGGGAAUAUUGCACAAUGGGCGCAAGCCUGAUGCAGCCAUGCCGCGUGUAUGAAGAAGGCCUUCGGGUUGUAAAGUACUUUCAGCGGGGAGGAAGGUGUUGUGGUUAAUAACCACAGCAAUUGACGUUACCCGCAGAAGAAGCACCGGCUAACUCCGUGCCAGCAGCCGCGGUAAUACGGAGGGUGCAAGCGUUAAUCGGAAUUACUGGGCGUAAAGCGCACGCAGGCGGUCUGUCAAGUCGGAUGUGAAAUCCCCGGGCUCAACCUGGGAACUGCAUUCGAAACUGGCAGGCUUGAGUCUUGUAGAGGGGGGUAGAAUUCCAGGUGUAGCGGUGAAAUGCGUAGAGAUCUGGAGGAAUACCGGUGGCGAAGGCGGCCCCCUGGACAAAGACUGACGCUCAGGUGCGAAAGCGUGGGGAGCAAACAGGAUUAGAUACCCUGGUAGUCCACGCCGUAAACGAUGUCUACUUGGAGGUUGUGCCCUUGAGGCGUGGCUUCCGGAGCUAACGCGUUAAGUAGACCGCCUGGGGAGUACGGCCGCAAGGUUAAAACUCAAAUGAAUUGACGGGGGCCCGCACAAGCGGUGGAGCAUGUGGUUUAAUUCGAUGCAACGCGAAGAACCUUACCUGGUCUUGACAUCCACAGAACUUUCCAGAGAUGGAUUGGUGCCUUCGGGAACUGUGAGACAGGUGCUGCAUGGCUGUCGUCAGCUCGUGUUGUGAAAUGUUGGGUUAAGUCCCGCAACGAGCGCAACCCUUAUCCUUUGUUGCCAGCGGUUAGGCCGGGAACUCAAAGGAGACUGCCAGUGAUAAACUGGAGGAAGGUGGGGAUGACGUCAAGUCAUCAUGGCCCUUACGACCAGGGCUACACACGUGCUACAAUGGCGCAUACAAAGAGAAGCGACCUCGCGAGAGCAAGCGGACCUCAUAAAGUGCGUCGUAGUCCGGAUUGGAGUCUGCAACUCGACUCCAUGAAGUCGGAAUCGCUAGUAAUCGUGGAUCAGAAUGCCACGGUGAAUACGUUCCCGGGCCUUGUACACACCGCCCGUCACACCAUGGGAGUGGGUUGCAAAAGAAGUAGGUAGCUUAACCUUCGGGAGGGCGCUUACCACUUUGUGAUUCAUGACUGGGGUGAAGUCGUAACAAGGUAACCGUAGGGGAACCUGCGGUUGGAUCACCUCCUUACCUUAAAGAA